CCUACGGGAGGCUGCAGUGGGGAAUAUUGCACAAUGGGGGGAACCCUGAUGCAGCGACGCCGCGUGAGUGAAGAAGUAUUUCGGUAUGUAAAGCUCUAUCAGCAGGGAAGAAGAUGACGGUACCUGACUAAGAAGCCCCGGCUAACUACGGGCCAGCAGCCGCGGGAAUACGGAGGGGGCAAGCGUUAUCCGGAUUUACUGGGUGUAACGGGAGCGUAGACGGCAGGGCAAGUCUGGAGUGAAAGCCCGGGGCCCAACCCCGAGACUGCAUUGGAAACUGCCAUGCUAGAGUGCUGGCGAGGUAAGCGGAAUUCGUGGUGUAGCGGUGAAAGGCGUAGAUAUUAGGAAGAACACCAGUGGCGAAGGCGGCUUACUAGACAGUAACUGACGUUGAGGCUCGAAAGCGUGGGGAGCAAACAGGAUUAGAUACCCUAGUAGUC
rnacentral:rRNA from 1 species